rnacentral:rRNA from 1 species
AGUGAACGCUGGCGGCGUGCUUAACACAUGCAAGUCGAACGAGAACGGAUUAUAGCUUGCUAUAAUUGUCAGCUAAGUGGCGCACGGGUGAGUAAUGUAUAGGUAAUAUGCCUCUUACUAAGGGAUAACAAAUGGAAACGUUUGCUAAUACCUCAUACUCCUUAUUAACAGAAGUUAAUAAGGGAAAGAUUUAUUGGUAAGAGAUUAGCCUGUAUUGUAUCAGUUAGUUGGUGGGGUAAUGGCUUACCAAGACUAUGACACAUAACUGGUUUGAGAGGAUGAUCAGUCACACUGGAACUGAGACACGGUCCAGACUCCGACGGGAGGCAGCAGUGGGGAAUAUUGCACAAUGGACGAAAGUCUGAUGCAGCAACGCCGCGUGGAGGAUGACACAUUUCGGUGCGUAAACUCCUUUUAUAUGAGAAGAUAAUGACGGUAUUAUAUGAAUAAGCACCGGCUAACUCCGUGCCAGCAGCAGCCGCAG